rnacentral:miRNA from 1 species
UGCCAAAGGAGAGCUGUCCUG